UUUGCCUAGAAGAAGAAAUAAAGCUUUCACGAACAGCAUCUCGCUGUGUGUCCGAAGGGAAAUAAGCUCAAUAGUUCAGCACAACUGCAAACCCUGCCCACUGGAAGGAUGAACUGCAGCACAAGGCUGCUGGCCAAGAAUCAGAAAUACCAGGUCCUCCUUUUCACGACACAACUCUGUGGAAAUCUCACGGAGUGCCAAAUAGUCUCGCAGAUCCUUCACCUUCAUCUUUAUCAACUCUUCCCGCUGAAAAGCUGUGGCUCGGAAACGCUGGCAUAGGUGGCAGAGAAGGGGACCACCUUCAGGCUGGUUUGAGCAGGACGUACAAAAAUUCUUCUUACAGUCCAAGCAGAUGUGCUGGUAAAGAGAAGGGAACAGAAUCAAACCGAUCCACCAUGAUCUGCAACAAAGGUGCACAACGGCUGCAGGCAGUGCUCCCCUACCAUCUGGAAGGCAAAGGCUCAAUUUUCAGAAGUUCCAAGCACUCACAGUCCAUGUUGACUUCUGCAGAAACUUGACUGUUCAACACUUUGGAAAGUCAAAUUCUACAUUUUCCAAUAGGAACAGCGGCAGAACAGCCGCAUUACGUGCCUUUUAAAAAGUCCUGAGGGAAGAAAGAACUGGUUUCAGUGCUGGUUAAAAAUGCUAAUUCAGUGUCUCAGAGAAGACAAGCAUCUCUAUGAAAUCCUGCAAUCCUGACCCUUCAGAGCUAUGCAAAGAAAAAUACACAUGCAGAGUUGGAGAAGCAACAAACUCAGAGACAAAAAAAUUGUUUCAUGAAAUGCUUCUAGUGAUUAAAGAACAUUUUUGACUUCACGG